GUCUCUGUGGCGCAAUCAGUUAGCGUGUUUGGCUGUUAACUGAAAGGUUGGUGGUUAAAGCCUACCCAGGGACG
rfam:Danio rerio chromosome 2, GRCz11 reference primary assembly.